CGUUUCUGGGUGAAUCUCAAGAUCUGGACUUUGCAUCAAACAACGAUAGAUUCGGAGGGUAAGCGUGGUGUUCAAGAUGUUGACUCGAAUGGAGAUGGGAAGCUUGAUAUGGCCGAACUGAAAGCAGAGUACGGACAACUGGGCGCUCGUGAACUCAUGCACUUUGCUGAUUCAAAUGGUAACCACGUUCUUGAGGCUCAGGAGAUUGUGGCAUUGGAGCGAUACGCAGACUCCCACACAUAAGAGGACAUGGAACAACAAUGAAAAUCUCCGAUUAACUGGAACGUUUCAAUGAAAUAAAUUGUUUGCAAUCGA
rnacentral:misc_RNA from 1 species